ensembl:ncRNA T19C4.23 ncRNA
AUAUCAAGUGUCGGAAUGUUGUAAUUUGAGAUGGGUGAGACUUACCCACAAGUUUUUGUCGUUGCUGACUCACACGACGGACCAGAAUCAUACUGGCAAGAUUUAGAAAUAGAGAAAGAACAAUUGAUACGACCAUGAAGGGCAGAAGUACUUUAGAUAUAUACUUUUGUUCCU